AAAAAGAUCAUUAAAAAAAAUUAAAAAUUUAAAAGUAUCGAUGACAAUAUUGUUAUAACAUCAAAGUAAUUUAAAGGGGUUAUUAAGGAUAACUAUCAAAUUUAUAAAAAAGGAGGAAAUAUACCAAAAGCUUUUUAAAAUAUUUUUUUUAUAUUUAUUUUUGUUUUAAAAAAAGCGAUCCUAAGGUAAACCUUUAAUAUUAAUUACUUCCUGAAGUAAAACAUUUUAUUAGGGAAAGGAAAGGAAAUCAACCGAGACUCCGAAAGUAAUGGUGAGUGAAAUCGGAUUAGCCUAAAUUAUUUUAUAAAUUGAAUAAUUAAAAUUUAUUUUAUUAUUAAUAAUUUGAUUUUUAUUAAAAAUUAAAUUAAAUUUAAUUAGCAAUCCUUGUUAUUUAUAGUUUAAACUUAUAAAUUUUUAAUUUAAUUAAAAAGUAUUAUAACAACUAGGUUAAAAAUAAAUAAUUUUAUUAAUUGCUCUAAAGUAGGUGAAUAUCUAAGUCCUGUAGAUUUAUAAAAUAAUUAAAAAUACUAAUUAGUAUUUAUAAAUAAUAUUAUUUAUAGAUUCUUUUUAUUAUAAAUUUAAAAGUACAAUGAGAGAAAACUUGUUGGAAUAUAGGGGUACCAUCCUCUAAGGCUAAGUAUUAUAAAUUUAGUGAUAGCGAAAAGUACUGUAAAGGAAAUGUUUGAAAUAAAAUAUAUUGUAGUAAACAACAUUUUAAAAUUUUAAAAAUUUUUUUUUUUAAUUUUUUAUAUGAAAUAAUUGAAUUAGUAACUCUAUAAGCAGUCGAAAUUCUACUUUUAAAGAUUAAUGAAUGACGGCGUACCUUUUGCAUAAUGGGUCAGCAAGUUAAUAGGAGUAGCAAGGUUAAAAGCCCUAGCGAAAGCGACUGGACUAUAAUUUUUGUUUAAUAUAGUGAUGGAUAAGUUACUUCUAUUAGACCCGAAGCCAGGUGAUCUUACCAAGACCAGAUUAUAAUGGAUCGAACGGGUGAAUGUUGCAUAAUUCUCCGAAGAGUUUUGGUAAGCGGCGAAAUACCAAUCUGACCUGGUGCUAUCUGGUUUUCUACCGAAACAUAUUUAAGUAUGACAUCUACAUUUAUAGAUUUAUGGAGGUACAGAAAGGCAACUCCCAACAAGAAUUAGGUAUUGCUCACUUUUGUAAUAGCAAGUGAGGAUGAUGUAAUUUUUUACAUUAACCUUUUUGGCGUUUAGGUUGCGGGGACGUAGAAAUCUUACCUUUGGAGGCGAAUCUCGGAAUUACAUAAAUUGAUAGUAGAUAUUCAGACUAUUCAUGCUAAGUUGAGUAGUCAAGACGGAAACAGCCGAGAACACAGAUCAAGGUCCCAAAUGAUUGUUAAGUGAAAUUAAGGACGUAGCAAAAUCGUAUACAGCUGUGAAGUGAGCUUGGUAGUAGCUACUUAUAAUGAUCGUAUGUAACAACGCAUCAGCAGUCUAGAUUGUAGCGCCGAAAAUUUAACGGGUCUUAAACAAUCAACCGAUAUCGUGUUGGUAUUGAAUAAAAAUUAAUAUUUUAUUAUAUUUUUAUAUAAUAUUUUUAUUCUUUAUCUAGGUAGUAGAACAUUCAGUCAAACUAUUGAAAAAAUAGUGUUUCAUUAUUUUUAGGCAACUGAAGAGAGAAUGCUGACAUGAGUAACGUUAAAGAAGUUAAUAAUACUUCUCGCCGAAAACGAAAGGGUUGCACAACUAGAUUAAAUCUUUGAAAAUGUGUUAAUGCGGCCUCUAAGGACCCUAACCAAAGUUAUGGCUGAUGAGUAAAUAAUAGAAAGUCCUAUAAUAAUUUUAAUAAGAUAAAAUUAAUGGACCAGGAAAUUAAUAUUAUUUUAUUUAAUUUUUAUUUAAUUUGAUAAACUAAAACCAAAAAAUAUAAUUUUAUAUUUUUUUGGUUUAUCUAUUUUUUAAUAUUUAAUAUUUUUACUACCGUACCCUAAACCGACACAGGUUCGUAGGUAGAGAAUACUAAGGCGUAGAGCUAAAAGUUGUUAAGGAACUCGGCAAGAUUACCUGCUAGCGUCUUUGGAAAUACGCUAAAGCGGGAGCAAUUACCAAACUCCGGGGACACCCUAAAGCUUAUGAUACCAAGCUAUAAUUGAAAAACUAUAAGUGGCUGAACUAAUCACUCAGGUAUGGUAAUAAGUCAUAAGAUAGGAUGAAAAUAAAAUGGGCUAUCGCGGAUCUAAGUCAGAAUUUUUAAACCCACACGCUUUGCGGCCACAAGAAUAUUCUGUAAAAGAGCAACGAGUAGACGGUAAUUGAGGAACCUUUAAUUUUAAAAAUAAAAAGGUACCUUUAAGGUGUACUCUAAUGGGUUUCGAAAGAAACUAUCGAAUCAAAAUCCCUACUAAACAAUUAAAUAAUAAUUCAUUUUCUACUCUAAAUUACUGUAGUUUACCAUUAGGAGGUACUAAACUUAAUCCGUGUUUUUAACUGGAUUUACAGAUGCUGAAGGAUGCUUUUCUAUUUCAAUACGACCUGAUGCUAAAAUGAAAACUAAAUGAAGAGUAUUACCUGUUUUUACAAUUAAACUGCAUAAAAAAGAUAUUGCUAUAUUAGAAGAUAUUAAAUACACACUAGGUGUAGGAACAAUAAGAAAUAAUGGUAUAAAUUCGGUACAAUAUAUAGUAGAAUCUUUUAAAGAAAUUCAAUUCAUAGUUGACCAUUUUGAUAAAUAUCCUCUUAUUACCUGUAAAGUUUCUGAUUAUUUAAUCUUUAAACAAUGUUUUGAUAUAAUUAAAAAACGAGAACAUUUAACUGAUAGAGGUAUACUAAAAUUAGUAGGUUUAAAAAGUUCCCUUAAUUGAGGUCUUUCUGAUAAUUUAAAGAUAGCUUUUCCUAAUGCUGAUCUUAUAGAAAAACCUAAUUAUAUCUUUAAGGGUAUACCUGAUCCUUUUUGAGUAGCUGGUUUUACUAGUGGAGAUGGAUCAUUCCAUUUAAUUACUAGCAAACCUUCCGAAUACUUAGAAGGAGCCUCACUUACUAAUAAAGUUAUUAAUUCAGCCUCCAAAGUUAAAGUUACAUUAAGAUACUCAAUAAAUUUACAUAUUAGAGAGCUAGAGGUAAUCAAAGGUCUUGCUGCUUUCUUUAAAUUAUAUGAUAAUAAAACCCUUAAUGCAAAUGUCCUUGCUGAAGAAGCCAGUGCUGAAGUAAAACAUAAAAAUAUUUAUAUUUUAGAAAAAACAGCAGGUCUUCAUAUUACAAAAAUAUCUGACAUUGUUAAUAUAAUAAUACCCUUUUUUGAGAAGUACCCUGUACUAGGUGUAAAAAGUUUAGAUUUUUCAGAUUUUAAAAAAGUUAGUUAUAUGAUAAAAACUAAAGAACAUCUAACAUCAGAAGGUUUUAAUGAAAUAUUAAAGAUAAAAUCGCAAAUGAAUCAAAAUAGAUAGAUUAGAAAAAAUAUUAAUUUUAUGCAUUGUUCUGUUAUGCUAUUAAAAAAUUAAAAAGAAGAAAGGAUAGCUAUAAUUUAUAUAUAUUUUUAUUUAAUUGCAUGUUAAAUUUGAUAGCCAUGCAUAAGUUUGACGAUAAGAGGUACCACUUAUAUAUUUUAUUUUAAUACUCUAUAUAAGGAGGUGGCACAUAAUCGGAGGCCCCGACUGUUUACUAAAAACACAAUUCAGUGCAAUGAUGAAUAUCAUAGUAUACUGAAUGAAAUUUGCCCGAUGCCAUUAAUAUAAGAGCGGUCAUUGAAAAAUGUGACUAAUCGAAAGUCUGGUUAAUAGCGGUCUUAACCAUGAGGAUCUAUUAAGGUCCUAAUAAAAUUUAUCUAUAUGCUGGAAGGUCUUAUUACUAGUUGUUUUGUUUUAAUUUUUUACUUUUUUUAUUUGGCUCCGCAGGUUCGCAGGUUGAUUUUUUUAACUGGUCGCGGAUUGCAUAAGCAAGAGGGAGUAAAAUUUUACAAUGAACAUUUAUUUAUUAAUAAUAAUAGUAUUUUAUUGGGCAUUGGUUUGCCAUUUUUACUAAAAAAAAAUAAUACUCAAAAUUUAUUUUUUAAUUAUAAAUGUAAAACUAUAUUUAAGAAUAAUCAGCAGAAAAUUUUUUAUACCUAUUCUACUUUUUUAGAUAAAACUGAAUCUACUAUUUUAGAAGAAAUUGGAGAGACAAAUAUUAAUGUUAAUAAAUUAAAGUAUGAUAUCUCUGAUUCUUCUGUUUUAUACUUUUUAGGAGGAUUUUUUGAAGGUGAAGGUUCUAAUUCUGUAUCUAUUUCUGUGGGUAAAGAAUUUAAAUAUGGUGUAAAUAUACAACCUGUAUUUAAUGUUACUCAACAUGAAAAUGGAUUAGAAAUUCUUUAUGCUUAUAAAAAUCUUUUUAAAUCAGGAUCUGUUUUAAAAAAAUCAGGUUCUGAUAAUGUAUGAGUAUAUACUAUUAAAGGUUAUAAAAAAAUAAAUAAUUUAAUUAUUCCUUUUUUAGAAAAGUAUGUUCAACCUUUAAGUUGUAAAAAAUCAGAGUUUGAAAUAUUUAAACAAAUAUGUAAAAUGUCUGAGUUGGGUGGACAAAAAUCUAAAGAAAGUUUAAUUGAAAUGGUUACACUAGCUUAUAAAUUUAAAGGAAAGGGUAAUCAAAGAAAACGAGAAUUAGAUGAAGUAAUAAAAAUAAUUAAUGAUAAAGAUAGUUAUUUUAAAAAAUAAAUAGGUAUAAAUUUCUCAGAGACUAAACGAUAAAAAGUUUUUAUAUUAUUUAUAUAUAAAUAAAAAUUUAUGAUGUAGUCCAAAGUUUAAUUUUUAUAUUUUCUGUAUAAUAGAUUAUAAUAGUUAAAUAGAUAGUUAUUAAACUUUGCCUAAGGUAGCAAAAUCAGUUGGCCAUUAAAUGUGGUCCGGUAUCAAUAAUGUAACGAUGGUCUCACUGUCUCUACAACUUGCUCAGUGAAAUUGAAUUACCCGUGAAGAUGCGGGUUAUCUUCAGAGGGACGGGAAGACCCUAUGCAGCUUCUACUGUAGUUAGUUAUCAUGUAAAUCUAGAACAGCCUUCUCUAAUAGCAAAUAGGGAUGUCGAUAGACGAAUUUUGGAAACCUUAUAGUUAAGGCUGGGUUUAUGUUUACCUUAUUUGUAUUCUAUACGAACAAAAGGGGAGAGUUGACUAAUUGGCAGUUUGACUGGGGCGGUCGUCUUUAAUAGAGUAGCAAAGUACAUCCAAAUUUUUCUACAAAAUUAAUAAAUUUUAUAAAAUAUUUAUAUUAUUUAUUAUAUUAACUCAAAACAAAAAUAUUAUUAAAAAAAAAUUAUAUAUUUAAAUUUUUCACAAAUAAUCUCUCUUUUUUUUUUAUUUAAUAUAUUUAAUUAAAAAGAAGAGAUUAAUGAUUAAUUUUUUAAUUAAGAAACUAAAUAGAAGCUUAGUUCUUUAGAAAAAUCUUGUAUUAACUUUUUUUUACGGAUUUAUCUCCCCUUUGCUAUUUUCACUUUUUUAUUCACCACCGCAUUAGCGAGUGAGUAAUACUAAAGCAAGGAUAGCAUAUUCUACUUUUUAUUUUUAAUAUUAGGAUAGGAAAAAUAUGCUUUAUUACAAUUAUAUUAGUAGCUCGCUGUCCCGCCCCAUUAGGGAAAGGGUGCGUGUUGCAAAAACAAGUAAUUAAGCAGGGGGGAUCGGGGCUUAGAAAAAAAAAAAUAUUAAAAUUAAUUAUAACACACUUAUAAUUAAUAAUAAUAAAUUAAUAAGUUGAAAAAAAUUAUAAAUUUUUCAAAAAAAAAGUAUUAAAGGUAUUGCUAGGCAUUGAAUGGAGAUCAAUUGACCAGUGAAGGGUUGCGCAGAGUUCAAUGGCGGAAAGCAUGCUUAACUGAAAGACCUAUAAGUCGCACAGAUACGUAAGUAGGGCAUAGUGACCCCUCGCUAUAGUAUGGAAUAGACGGGGAUCAAUAAAUAAAAGUUUUGACUUAAUUAUCCCUAAAAAUAAAAACUUUUAAUGUAAUAAAAAUUAACUUUAUUUCUUCUUUAUAUUAUGAUUUUUAAUACUUUAACUUUUUUAAACUUAUUUUUAAUUAAUUCAGCGCUACGUAAUACUUAUAAAAAGGAUAGCUGCGCAGCUGCGCAGUGUUAGCUAGCAAAAAAAAAAAGUUUUCAGUUUAGAAUAUAAUUGUAUCUUUUUUAUAAUUAUUAUUUCCUAUAUAUUUUUAUCUUUAAACUAUUAAAAUUAAUAAAUUUACAAAUCGCGGAGCUCGUAGUUCGCCUUGCUGCAAAGGAAGCUAGUCGCGCAGCUGCUAAAGCAGAAAAAAAUAAUUUGAUUAAAAAAAAAUAUGGUAUAAAUUGCGGUUUUUUAUAUUUUUUUUUUAUUGGUUUAAGAAAAUAAUAAAUAAUACAAUGAAUAAUACAACACAUAAUAAUUUAUAUUCUAUAUUGGAAAUAGUUGAGCAGCGAAGCAACAGAAGCACAGAAAAUUUAAAAAUAAAAAGUAAUGUAGCAGGUAUUUAUCAAUUAGUUAAUUUAACUAAUGAAAAAUCAUAUAUAGGAAGUUCAGUAAAUUUAAAGAGAAGAAUUAAAGAAUAUUUAAAUCCUUUAUAUAUCCAUAGAAAUCUUAAAAAAGGUAAUAGUAUUAUAAUGAAUGCUAUUUUAAAAUAUGGUUAUACUAAUUUUGGAAUUAGAAUUUUAGAAUCUAUAACAUUUGACGCUAAUCAAUCUAAGUCUGAUAGAAAAAGUAUAAUUUUAGCUAGAGAACAAUAUUAUUUAGAUUUAAUUAAACCUGAAUAUAAUAUAAAUAAAUUUGCAGGAUCUAAUCAAGGUAGAAUUUACUCCAAAGAAGUAAGACAAAAAAUGAGUUUAGCUAAAAUAGGUAAACCUGGAAAUAAAAAAGGAGCUAUUUUAUCUGAAGAAUCUAGAACUUUAUUAAGAGAAAAAAGUGGUAGAGCUUUAGGUAUUAUCAUGUUAAAUGAAAAUAAUGAAGUUUUAGCUAAAUUUAAAUCUAUACAAUUAGCCUCAGAAGUUACAGGUAUAUCUAGGAAUAGAAUUAGUAGAUGUGCUAGAAAAAUUCGAAAGCAAAUUUUAGAAAAAGGAAAAAUUUAUAAAUUUGAAUAUGAUUUGUCUCUGCAGUGCAGCAGUGCCUUUCACCAAUCCAAAUAAACCAAAGGCAGCUUUAGCUACAAAAGUAAGGUGUAGCUGCUUCGCCUUCGCAGCUGUGCGGCUUUGGAAGCUAAAGCAGUGCUUGCAUUAAAGCAUUGCUUUUAAGCAGUGGUUAAAGCUUAGCUGAAACAGCAGUAGCUGAAUAAUUAAUUUUAUAACAUUAAUUGUAUUUUUAUUUUAAUUAAGGCGUGACCUUGUUUAUUUUUUAGUUUAAUUAUUAAUUAAUUUUAAUAUAAAUUUAAAAUAUAAAUUCGAACUUUAUUAUAUGUCGAGAAGAUUUUUAAGAUUAGAUUUAAUAUUAAUAUUACAAAAUAUCUAAUAUGUAACAAUAAAUUAACUCGCAGGCUAAAUUUUAAGCCUCAGAGACUAUACAUAGAGCACUAAUAUCAAUAACAAUAAAUAUUUAGUGAUGACAUAGUCCAUUUAAUAUUAUAUUCUUUCUAUAUAUGAAUAUAUAUAAUUUGACGCUAGGGAUAACAGGCUGAUCACCGACGAGAGUACACAUUGUCUCGGUGGUUUGGCACCUCUUUUAUUUUAAAGUAAAAGAAUGAAUAAUAAAAAUAUUAAUAAAAUAGGUUUUAUUAGAAGUUCGAUUCUUCUAUUAUUCUUUUUGUUUCAAUGAUAGUGUUUAUAUUAAAAUUUUAGUUUAGCAAUUUUGCUAAAUCCUCCCCUUCCCCUCGCUUUGCGAAUGGGGCGGGGAGUGCAAUAACUAGACUACUUUACCACAAUCGCAUACCGCCUCACUACAACGCAAACAUCCACUAAUGUGUAUGUGUUUGUGUCGCUCACUAUUAUAUUGUUGCUUAUGCAAGAGUGAGUUGCUAAGGCAAGGUUUAAGUGAGCAAGGCUAAGCAAGCGCGGAGCCGCCCUGCUUUAGCUGUCGCUGCGCUCGCUCUCGCUGCGCGAGCGAGAGGGUGAGAGUUAACACAAAAAAAUAAAAAAUACAUCGGGGAAUUUAGAUAGUAAUAUCUAAGUAAAAUUUAGCUAUAUGUUCUGGAACGCUUAGAUAAAUCACCAAUACUAUUAAAUUAGUUAAAAUUUAGUGAUUAUAAGUAAUCAGCAAGAAAUAAAUAAUAAAUAAUUCUUCAACGAUCAUACGCUAAUAUCUAGAUAUUUAUCAGUUGUACUCCUUUAACUAGAUAAAAAUAUGAUCUAUAAUUACAAAUACUUAUAUUAUUACAAUUAUAUUAGUUAUAAAUGUUUUUAUAUUAAUAUAUUAUAAAUAUAUGAGUUUUGUUUAGAUUUUGCGAUGUCGACUCAUCCUAUCCUCCGGGGGAAGAAGCUUGGAAGGGUUCGGCUGUUCGCCGAUUAAAAGGGUACGCGAGUUGGGUUUAAAACUCAAAUUAAUAAAAUAAUUAAAAUUAUAAAAAUUAUAAAAAAAUAAAAGGAAUGAGAAAAAUAAUAUUAAAAAUUAAUAAAGGUAGAUAUUAUACCAAAAAUAAUAUAGGUUCACAUUCUUUUUCAGAAUUAGGCAAUCUUAAUUCUGUAUUUGUAGGUAUCAUGCUAGGAGAUGGGAGUUUAUAUAGGUCAUCACCUACAGCUAAUGUAAGAUUUGAAAUGAGUUUAGGACAAAACUAUGAAGAAUUUGCACUAGAAUUAGGUGAACUUUUUAAAGAAUAUAUGAAUAAUCCAGUUAAAGCCUUAGAAAUUAAAGGUAAAACCAAAAACUAUAUUAAUUAUAGACUUAAAACAAAAAGUUUACCAGUAUUUGUUCCGUAUUACGAUAUGUUUUAUUCAUUUAAUAACGAUUUAAAUAAAUUUGUUAAAAUUGUACCUAAAAAUAUUGAAGACUUAAUGGAUCCUAUUGUUUUAGCUUAUUUAAUAAUGACUGAUGGUAAUUUUGAUAAAGGAAGAAAUAGGGUUAGAAUUUAUACUAAUAGUUAUUCUAAAGAGGAAGUUGAAAGUUUAGCUUCUUCAAUAAAUAACAAUUUAGGUAUUUAUACUGGUGUUUUACUUGAUAGAAAUAGCCAAUUUAUUCUAACCAUUGGAGCUAAGUAUUUAGACCUUUUGAGAAUAACUGUUUCCAAACAUUUUCAUACAUCUAUGCUUUAUAGAAUAGGAUUAUAAUUUUAAAUUUUUAUUGAUUUUAAUAAGCCCCUUCUUUUUUAUAUUAAACUAUUAAGCUGUUAUGGGUUAAGGCCAGCUCAGCUCGCUUUAUAAAUAAGCAGUUCUUACCCCUUAAUUUAAAAUAGAAGAAAACCGGAUAAAUUGCAAGAAGUACUUUAAUUAAAGUUAAUUUGCAGCCGAGCACAAAUAGAGUGAUUACUCUGUUUCUAGCAUCGCAAGAAGAAGUAGAGUAAAAUAUUGUGAAGGUUCAACGACUAAUAGGUGAGUAUCACUAACAAUAAGCCUAACACGAACAUCCGGCAAUUAUAGUUAUAACUGUAAUUGAUGACAUAGUCUAAACUUAUUUGUGAGAAUAAGAAACUUGGGAUAAAGAGCCUAAGUGAUAAUAUAAUUGUUAAUACGACGUGAGUCAGUAUGGUCCCUAUCUUCUGAAGAGAUAAGUAGUAAACAGGGGCAGACCUUCUAGUACGAAAGGAUCAAUAGGCUGUGUUUCUCUAGUGUACCAAUUGUUUUUACUUUAUUAUAAGGGACUCAAAAUAUUUUUCAAAUUUAAUUUGAUUAAAAGCGCUGCACCUGUACGGGGCUAAAGCAAGAGAGAACAAUCCUUUUUUAUUUAUUUUUUGUUGUUUGCUGCUAAAGCACUAAUAUAUUUAGUAAGUAGUAAAAAAAAUAAAAAAAAAAAGGUAAUAAUUUAGGAAUGCAUAGUUGGGUAGCCACAAACAUAAUAGAUAAGUGCUGAAUGUAUAUCAAGCAAGAAUCUAACCCCUAGAUACUAACAAACGGAACUCUAUUAACUAUUAAAUUUAACUCUAACAUUUUUCAUUAAAAUGUAAAUUUUUUAAAUUAUUUAAAUAAAUAUUUAUUAAUUUAAAAAUCCUUUUUAAAUUUAUUUAAGUUUUGUUAUAAAUAUUAUUAUUUGUAAUUACUACUUAAAUAGUAAUAAAAAGGUAGAUAAUCAAGUUAAUUUUAUAGAUAUAAUUAAAUUAAAAAAAGAGUAUAAAACCGUUAAUUAAGAAAUAGAACAUUUCUAGUUAGGCUGCAAAUGAGCUUACUGUGAAGUAUUUAGUUUAGCAGUACUAAUUUAUAAAUAAACUUGAU
rnacentral:rRNA from 1 species